rnacentral:rRNA from 1 species
AACGAACGCUGGCGGCGUGCUUAACACAUGCAAGUCGAACGAUGAACCACUUCGGUGGGGAUUAGUGGCGAACGGGUGAGUAACACGUGGGCAAUCUGCCCUUCACUCUGGGACAAGCCCUGGGAAACGGGGUCUAAUACCGGAUACGACACUCUCGGGCAUCCGAUGAGUGUGGAAAGCUCCGGCGGUGAAGGAUGAGC